CAGCAGCCACGGUAAUACGAAGGGGGCUAGCGUUGCUCGGAAUGACUGGGCGUAAAGGGCGCGUAGGCGGAUUGCUUUGUCGGGCGUGAAAUUCCAGGGCUCAACCUUGGGUGGUCGUUCGAGACGGUUAAUCUAGAGUUUGGCAGAGGGUCGUGGAAUUCCCAGUGUAGAGGUGAAAUUCGUAGAUAUUGGGAAGAACACCGGGGCGAAGGCGGCGACCUGGUCCUUGACUGACGCUGAGGCGCGAAAGCGUGGGGAGCAAACGGGAUUAGAUACCCCCGUAGUCCCUGUCUCUUAUACA
rnacentral:rRNA from 1 species